UACGUAGGCAGCGAGCGUUGUUCGGAGUUACUGGGCGUAAAGGGUGCGCAGGCGGUGGAGCAAGUCUGUUGUGAAAUCUCCCGGCUUAACCGGGAGGGUGCGGCGGAAACUGUUCUGGCUGGAGUGAGGGAGAGGCAAGCGGAAUUCCUGGUGUAGCGGUGAAAUGCGUAGAUAUCAGGAGGAACACCCGUGGUGCAGACGGCUUGCUGGACCUCCACUGACGCUGAGGCACGAAAGCGUGGGGAGCAAACAGG
rnacentral:rRNA from 1 species